GUAGGUGGCAAGCGUUGUCCGGAAUUAUUGGGCGUAAAGCGCGCGCAGGCGGUUUUUUAAGGUCUGAUGUGAAAGCCCUACGGGCUCAACCGUGGAGGGUCAUUGGAAACUGGAGAACUUGAGUACAGAAGAGGAAAGCGGAAUUCCACGUGUAGCGGUGAAAUGCGUAGAGAUGUGGAGGAACACCAGUGGCGAAGGCGGCUUUCUGGUCUGUAACUGACGCUGAGGCGCGAAAGCGUGGGGAGCAAACAGGAUUAGAUACCCUGGUAGUCCACGCCGUAAACGAUGAGUGCUAAGUGUUAGGGGGUUUCCGCCCCUUAGUGCUGCAGCUAACGCAUUAAGCACUCCGCCUGGGGAGUACGGCCGCAAAGGCUG
rnacentral:rRNA from 1 species